GAUGAACGCUGGCGGCGUGCCUAAUACAUGCAAGUCGAGCGAACAGACGAGGAGCUUGCUCCUCUGACGUUAGCGGCGGACGGGUGAGUAACACGUGGAUAACCUACCUAUAAGACUGGGAUAACUUCGGGAAACCGGAGCUAAUACCGGAUAAUAUAUUGAACCGCAUGGUUCAAUAGUGAAAGACGGUUUUGCUGUCACUUAUAGAUGGAUCCGCGCCGCAUUAGCUAGUUGGUAGGUAACGGCUUACCAAGGCAACGAUGCGUAGCCGACCUGAGAGGGUGAUCGGCCACACUGGAACUGAGACACGGUCCAGACUCCUACGGGAGGCAGCAGUAGGGAAUCUUCCGCAAUGGGCGAAAGCCUGACGGAGCAACGCCGCGUGAGUGAUGUAGGUCUUCGGAUCGUAAAACUCUGUUAUUAGGGAAGAACAAAUGUGUAAGUAACUAUGCACGUCUUGACGGUACCUAAUCAGAAAGCCACGGCUAACUACGUG
rnacentral:rRNA from 1 species